rnacentral:tRNA from 1 species
GCCGGGGUGACCGAGUGGCAUAGGUGCACGGCUGCAGACCGUGAUACCUGGGUUCGAAUCCCAGCCCCGGCC